UACGUAGGUGGCAAGCGUUGUCCGGAUUUACUGGGCGUAAAGAGCGCGCAGGCGGUCGUGCAAGUCGCGUGUGAAAGCCCCCGGCUCAACUGGGGAGGGUCACGCGAUACUGCUCGACUUGAAGGCAGGAGAGGGAAGUGGAAUUCCCGGUGUAGUGGUGAAAUGCGCAGAUAUCAGGAGGAACACCGGUGGCGAAGGCGCCACUCUGGGCCGAAACUGACGCUGAGGAGCGAAAGCGUGGGUAGCAAACAGG
rnacentral:rRNA from 1 species